UACGAGGGGGGCGAGCGUUGUUCGGAAUUAUUGGGCGUAAAGGGUGCGUAGGCGGUUCCGCAAGUCCUGUGUGAAAUCUUCGGGCUCAACUCGAAGUCUGCACGGGAAACUGCGGGGCUUGAGUGUGGGAGAGGUGAGUGGAAUUCCCCGGUGUAGCGGUGAAAAUGCGUAGAUAUCGGGGAGGAACACCUGUGGCGAAAAGCGGCUCACUGGACCAUAACUGACGCUGAUGCACGAAAAGCUGGGGGGAGCAAACAGG
rnacentral:rRNA from 1 species